rnacentral:rRNA from 1 species
GGACGGGUGAGUAACGCGUGGGUAACCUACCCCAAAGUCCGGGAUAACAGCGGGAAACCGCUGCUAAUACCGGAUGCCUUUACCUUGGGGCAUCUUGAGGUAAAGAAAGGCAACGCUUUGGGAUGGGCCCGCGUCCCAUUAGCUAGUUGGUGAGGUAACGGCUCACCAAGGCGACGAUGGGUAGCCGGCCUGAGAGGGUGGACGGCCACACUGGGACUGAGACACGGCCCAGACUCCUACGGGAGGCAGCAGUAGGGAAUAUUGCGCAAUGGACGGAAGUCUGACGCAGCGACGCCGCGUGAGCGAUGAAGGUCUUCGGAUCGUAAAGCUCUGUCCUUGGGGAAGAAGGUCUUCGGACUUGACGGUACCCAAGAAGAAAGCCCCGGCUAACUACGUGCCAGCAGCCGCGGUAAUACGUAGGGGGCGAGCGUUGUCCGGAAUUACUGGGCGUAAAG